CAACCCUCGAGCCCGACUCUGUAUAGAGAACGGCCCGGUGUUGGGGACCGGCAAUAGUGGAGACUUGUGCUCCGCGCCGCCCCCGAAAUUUAGUGGCGGCCCUCUGAGGCGACCUCUGCGUAGUAAUUUUAUCUCGCACUGGAAAACUCAGGGUGGCCACGCCGUAAAACCCCCGACUUUUUUAAGG
rnacentral:misc_RNA from 1 species